rfam:Pichia kudriavzevii strain SD108 scaffold00015, whole genome shotgun sequence.
GUGGGUUUGGCCGAGUGGUCUAAGGCGUCACGUUUAGGCCGUGAUAUCUUCGGAUGCAAGAGUUCGAACCUCUUAGCCCACA